rnacentral:tRNA from 1 species
GGUGGCUCAGUGGUAGAGUGCUUGCCUUGCAUGCAUGAGUUCCUGGGUUUGAUUCCCCAGCACCA